GCAGAACAGUUGCCGCGUCGCCUCCGCGCGCUGCACUGCGGCGUAGUGUCCUCGGCGCUCCGCGGCUCGCGGCCUUCUCUGUGCCUGCCCAGGUCCGGGUGCGGCCUCUGCUGCGAGGCCUCCUCAGCGCCCGGACAGGUCGGUGUACGGUCUCUUCUGCCCUCGGACAGGUCGGUGCGCGGUCCCCGCUGCGCGGCCUCUUCUGCCUUUGGACAGUGGCUGUGCGAUCUUGGCUGCGUGGCCUCCGGUGCGUGGCCUCCACUACGUGGCCUCUUUGGCCCUCCUAUGCAUUGGUGUGCGGCCUCCGCUGCGCAACCUCUUUGGCCCUCGGAUGCGUUGGUGCGCGGCCUCCGCUGCGCGAUCUCUUUGGCCCUCGGACUGGUUGGAGCGCGGCCUCGGAUGCACUGGGAUCCGAUCGCGGCAAGGGACGGCGAUCGCCAGCGGCGCGGAGCCGGUCCCCAGCAGA